ACUUUAAUUGAAGAGUUUGAUCAUGGCUCAGAUUGAACGCUGGCGGCAGGCCUAACACAUGCAAGUCGAGCGGCAGCGACUUAACUGAACCUUCGGGAGACGUUAAGGGCGGCGAGCGGCGGACGGGUGAGUAAUGCCUGGGAAUAUGCCCUGAUGUGGGGGAUAACUAUUGGAAACGAUAG
rnacentral:rRNA from 1 species